AUACCGGGCCUUUUUGGGCUUGGUAAUUGGAAUGAGGGAGAGUUAAACGGACCAUCGAGUAUCCAUUGGAGGGCAAGUCUGGUGCCAGCAGCUGCGGUAAUACCAGCUCCAAUAGCGUAUAUUAAAGUUGUUGCAGUUAAAAAGCUCGUAGUUGGACUUGUGUGCGCUGUCCGCGGGUGGCCUGCGCCCAAAAGGGCGUUUCGGUUCGGCCCCGGUGGCGCCUUGAAAUCUGCAGCUGGGGGGACGUUGGCCUUAACUGGUCGGCGACCGCACGCCGGCUGCUCGGUUACUGUGAGAAAAUUAGAGUGUUCAAGGCAGGCAUUGGGUGCAAUUGAAUACAUUAGCAUGGAAUAAUAAAAUAUGGCUCCUGCCGUAUUUUGUUGGUUUUGACUGGUGGGAGUAAUGAUUGAUAGGGACGGUUGGGGGUGCUAGUAUUGAGCGGCCAGAGGUGAAAUUCAUGGAUUCGCUCAAGACUAACUUAUGCGAAAGCAUUCACCAAGGACGUCCUCUUUAAUCAAGAUCGAAAGUUGGGGGAUCGAAGACGAUCAGAUACCGUCGUAGUCUCAACCAUAAACUAUGUCGACUUGGGAUCGGCGGUAGUUUUUUCAUUAAGACACUGUCGGGACCACGGGAGAAAUCAAAGUGUCUGGACUCUGGGGGAAGUAUGGUCGCAAGGCUGAAACUUGAAGGAAUUGACGGAAGGGCACCACCAGGAGUGGAGCCUGCGGCUUAAUUUGACCCAACACGGGGAAACUUACCAGGUCCAGAGAUGUAGAGGAUUGACAGAUUGAAGCUCUUUCUUGAUCACUUCGGUGGUGGUGCAUGGCCGUUCUUAGUUGGUGGAGUGAUUUGUCUGGUUAAUUCCGUUAACGAACGAGACCUCAGCCUGCUAGUGUAGUCGGCUGGAUUGCCUUUGGCGAUCCGUGAUUUCGACUUCUUAGAGGGACAAUCGACGCGCAGUCGAUGGAAGUUUGAGGCAAUAACAGGUCUGUGAUGCCCUUAGAUGUUCUGGGCCGCACGCGCGCUACACUGCUGGGCUCAGCGAGUUUUACUUGGCCGAGAGGCCCGGUUAAUCUUGUGAAAUCCCAGCGUGCUUGGGCUCGCCUCCUGCAACUGGAGGCGCCAACGAGGAAUUCCUAGUAGACGCAGGUCAUCAACCUGCAUCGAUUACGUCCCUGCCCUUUGUACACACCGCCCGUCGUUCCAUAAGAGUGAGGCAUCCGGUGAAUUCUCGGGAGAGCCUGGACGUGGCCAGCAAUGGUCUGCUCGGGUUUGAACUUGCAUAAACUUGGUGCCUAUGAUUAGGG
rnacentral:rRNA from 1 species